rnacentral:misc_RNA from 1 species
GGCUUCCAGAUAUUGAACUGUUGAAGUCAUGAGCAACCUCAAGCUCAAUAUCAAUAUAAUUAGCUCCCAACUGCAUUGCUAAACGAAGUGCAUCCUGUCUCUUGGUUUCAUCACCCUCAUAUUGACCACCUUCCCAACUUGGUCUGUAAGUUACCAGGGUGGGAAGAGGAGAUUGUUUAAUGAGGAUUNNNNNNNNNNUUGGCGAGGAUUGAAGUUUUUCAGGCAGUCUAGCCGGAUUUCGACAACAUCAGCACUGAUUUCCUUGGCUCUUUGCAUCUCAAUCAACAUUUGGUCGACAGUGGUUCCCAUUAGUGGAGUACAUAGCAAGGUAGGGCUGCUCUGAACUGCUUUAGAACCCAGUUGAAGAUCAGACAUUGUGAACGGAAGGCUUCCCAUGGUGGAGGGGGUGGUGGUGGUG